rnacentral:lncRNA from 1 species
GUUGAAUGUAACAUGGCAUAAAUGCCACCCGACCCAUGAKACCUGGAAGUCUAUGGGAGGGUUAUAGUGGUGGUACAGUGACUGCAGCUGAUAUGAGGGUCUCUGAUCUCUGGCUGUGAAAAUGAGCAGAGCUCAAGCAGCUUUCACUGCUGCUCCAUUCUAAUCUCGCACCCUUCAGGUGUGCUGUAUGUGCUCCAGGACUUUCUACUGGCACUCAAAGUGUUGGUAUCACCACUCUCCAAAGUCUUCAUGAGUCCCUAAUGGACCUUUCUCCAAGAGGCCCAGGUAGGCUCAGGCCUCUCUGAGUCUAUGUUGACAUCAAGAUGAGCAACUACACAGCUGCUAGCUUAUCUGUGCUUGUUUUAUCAAGCUGGCAGAGGUUACAAGAGCAGUGUAGAGUGCAGUGAAGGUCUUCCCAGGGGUUAGUCACCAGCAGACAAGCUCUCCAAGAUGCCUGGGUACAUACUCAGGUUGCUGGGGUGGGCUGGUGCCUGUGCUACUGCAUCUUCACAGCUCUUGAUCCCUGACCUGGAAGCUAUGGACAUACCUCCAGUGUGUGGUGCAAACAGACCCCAAGCAGGCCUUGUUAAGAAGGGCUGAUUUGGAGGCUGUUUAAUCCUCUGGAGACUUCUAGUUGGAAGCACGAGCAGAUUUUCCAGGCCUGUAGCAGAAGACUGUGCAUCUCUACAAGUGAGACACUGUCUCCUGCUGAGUGACCAGAUGGAGCAAAGACUGUUCUGGAGCAAAACUCGGAGGGUUCCUGAAACCCCUCUGUGGAUGAUGAAGGCAUGGGGGCUAAACCCUGUAAGAGAAUGGAGCUUAACUUUGCAGUGAGGAUGUAACUUUAAAUGGUACAAAGUUGCAUGUGCCUACUAGUAAUUAGAUGGACAUUUCAUACCAUCUCUUUGAAUAGUCUCUCUUCUUGAUGUUGAGCCUGAAUUACUGGCAGUUCAAAGCCAAAUGUCAGUCCCAUGUAUAGUCUUUCAGCAGAAGUUGUGUGACUGUGGAAACAGGAGAAACCUUGCUGACAAGGUAUUUGUGUUAAAAUAAUAAGCUUCCAUGCAAUUUUAAGAGUUCGUUCUGCACAAGGCUUGAUUCCUGUGUUGUUGCUUUCCACUUGGCAUGAAUAGAACUAUAUUCUCUUUUUAGUUUUAGACCUUCUCACCACAGUCAGAAACACUUGACUGUUAUGGCUAGAAUAUCACAACAUUCCCACUCAAGAUGGGAAAUUCUCUUCAAAGAAGAGAAAAGUGAUAUACAGCACCAAAUAGAAGGUUUGUAGCAAAGCAAGGAAGCCAGGUAAAAAUACAGGAAUCUAGCUUUAAUGUCAAAAGUCAUUCAUUACUUAAAUGGUCUAAAAUUUAACACAAUAAGCAUUGCAGGAUAAGAAUAGUGUCUGAACUUUUUUUUGGCAAAGAUCACUGAAAGAUUCCUUUCAAAAUUAAUAACACUGUACGUAGGAGAUCAAAAGUUAUCAGGUGAGAACAAUCAUCUCUGAAUUUUGAAUUUCUCCAUAAUGUCCUAAUUUAAAACAGAAUAAAGCAAACAAAACAACAAAGGAAGCA